rnacentral:rRNA from 1 species
GAUGAACGCUGGCGGCGUGCCUAAUACAUGCCAGUCGAGCGAACAGAUGAGGAGCUUGCUCCUCUGACGUUAGCGGCGGAAGGGUGAGUAACACGUGGAUAACCUACCUAUAAGACUGGGAUAACUUCGGGAAACCGGAGCUAAUACCGGAUAAUAUAUUGAACCGCAUGGUUCAAUAGUGAAAGACGGUUUUGCUGUCACUUAUAGAUUGAUCCGCGCCGCAUUAGCUAGUUGGUAAGGUAACGGCUUACCAAGGCAACGAUGCGUAGCCGACCUGAGAGGGUGAUCGGCCACACUGGAACUGAGACACGGUCCAGACUCCGACGGGAGGCAGCAGUAGGGAAUCUUCCGCAAUGGGCGAAAGCCUGACGGAGCAACGCCGCGUGAGUGAUGAAGGUCUUCGGAUCGUAAAACUCUGUUAUUAGGGAAGAACAAAUGUGUAAGUAACUAUGCACGUCUUGACGGUACCUAAGCAGAAAGCCACGGCUAACUACGG